rnacentral:rRNA from 1 species
UCUUGGUCAUUUAGAGGAAGUAAAAGUCGUAACAAGGUCUCCGUUGGUGAACCAGCGGAGGGAUCAUUACCGAGUUUACAACUCCCAAACCCAAUGUGAACCAUACCAAACUGUUGCCUCGGCGGGGUCACGCCCCGGGUGCGUCGCAGCCCCGGAACCAGGCGCCCGCCGGAGGGACCAACCAAACUCUUUUCUGUAGUCCCCUCGCGGACGUUAUUUCUUACAGACGUGGGCCUAUCGAGCGCAUCUCUGAGCAAAAAUUCAAAAUGAAUCAAAACUUCUGGCAUCGAUGAAGAACGCAGCGAAAUGCGAUAAGUAAUGUGAAUUGCAAAGGCCUCUGACGAGAAUUCUCUUUGAACGCACAUUGCGCCCGCCAGUAUUCUGGCGGGCAUGCCUGUCCGAGCGUCAUUUCAACCCUCGAACCCCUCCGGGGGGUCGGCGUUGGGGACCUCGGGAGCCCCUAAGACGGGAUCCCGGCCCCGAAAUACAGUGGCGGUCUCGCCGCAGCCUCUCCUGCGCAGUAGUUUGCACAACUCGCACCGGGAGCGCGGCGCGUCCACGUCCGUAAAACACCCAACUUCUGAAAUGUGACCUCGAUCAGU